CCGAGUUUACAACUCCCAAACCCCUGUGAACAUACCUAUACGUUGCCUCGGCGGAUCAGCCCGCGCCCCGUAAAAAGAGACGGCCCGCCCGAGGACCCCUAAACUCUGUUUUUAGUGGAACUUCUGAGUAAAACAAACAAAUAAAUCA
rnacentral:misc_RNA from 1 species